rnacentral:rRNA from 1 species
CCCGCUGAACUUAAGCAUAUCAAUAAGCGGAGGAAAAGAAACUAACAAGGAUUCCCCUAGUAACUGCGAGUGAAGCGGGAAAAGCUCAAAUUUAAAAUCUGGCGGUCUCGUGGCCCUCCCAAGUGGUAUUCAGAGGAACCGCCUCUCCGCUGCAGAGCGCGCACGACUCCUGUGGAAGGGAGCGUGGUAGAGGGUGAGAAUCCCCUCUGUGACGCAAACCACCGACGCCUGUGCGAUGCGCUCUCGAAGAGUCGAGUUGUUUGGGAAUGCAGCUCAAAAUGGGUGGUAAAUUCCAUCUAAACCUAAAUAUUGGCGAGAGACCGAUAGCGACUCAAGUACGAUGAAGGGAAAGAUGAAAAGCACUUUGGAAAGAGAGUUAAACAGUAUGAGAAAUUGUUGAAAGGGAAUCGUUUGAAGUCAGUCGCGUCGUACUGAGACUCAGCCGUGCUCUUCUCUCGGUGCAUUUCUCGGUCGACGCAUCAGCAUCAAUUCCCCCCGCCGGACAAAGGUCAGGGGAAUGUGGCAUCCUACGGGAUGUGUCAUAGCCCUUGAUUCGCAUACGGCGAUUGGGAUUGAGGAACUCGGCGCUUCACGCGUCCAGGAUGCUGGCAUAAUGGCUUUAAGCGACCCGUCUUGAAACACGG